rnacentral:lncRNA from 1 species
GAAGACUUGGCAGAGGAAGAACUAACCAAGGAUGGCCGCUAAGCUCGCCGUUCUCACCGUACUCGCGCUGCUCGGCUCCGUGUCGUGCCAAUCCGGCUACGGCGGCUACGGCUAUGGCGACGGCAACCCCACCCCGCCGCCGCCACCCACUUAUCCUCCGACGCCGAGCCCACCCACUUAUCCUCCGACACCGAGCCCACCCACCUAUCCUCCGACACCGAGCCCACCCACCUAUCCUCCGACACCGAGCCCACCCCCUUAUUCUUCUCCUCCUCCCACACCUAGCCCGCCGGCCGCCGGGCUCAGGUUCGGAUACUACGACAACAAGUGCCCCGGAGCGGAAGGCGUCGUGAGGGAGGCCGUGCGCGGCGCCAACGCUAG